rnacentral:rRNA from 1 species
AGUGAACGCUGGCGGCAGGCUUAACACAUGCAAGUCGAGCGGCAGCGCGUCCGACCACCCUCGGGUGGUCGGAUGGCGGCGAGCGGCGGACGGGUGAGGAAUGCAUCGGAAUCUGCCUCGUUGUGGGGGAUAACGUAGGGAAACUUACGCUAAUACCGCAUACGACCUACGGGUGAAAGUGGGGGACCUUCGGGCCUCACGCGAUGAGAUGAGCCGAUGCCGGAUUAGCUAGUUGGCGGGGUAAAGGCCCACCAAGGCGACGAUCCGUAGCUGGUCUGAGAGGAUGAUCAGCCACACUGGAACUGAGACACGGUCCAGACUCCUACGGGAGGCAGCAGUGGGGAAUAUUGGACAAUGGGGGCAACCCUGAUCCAGCCAUGCCGCGUGUGUGAAGAAGGCCUUCGG